rnacentral:rRNA from 1 species
AACGAACGCUGGCGGCAGGCUUAACACAUGCAAGUCGAGCGCCCCGCAAGGGGAGCGGCAGACGGGUGAGUAACGCGUGGGAAUCUACCCAUCCCUACGGGAUAACACAGAGAAAUUUGUGCUAAUACCGUAUACGUCCUUCGGGAGAAAGAUUUAUCGGGGAUGGAUGAGCCCGCGUCGGAUUAGCUAGUUGGUGGGGUAAUGGCCUACCAAGGCGACGAUCCGUAGCUGGUCUGAGAGGAUGACCAGCCACAUUGGGACUGAGACACGGCCCAAACUCCUACGGGAGGCAGCAGUGGGGAAUAUUGGACAAUGGGCGCAAGCCUGAUCCAGCCAUGCCGCGUGAGUGAUGACGGCCUUAGGGUUGUAAAGCUCUUUCACCCACGACGAUAAUGACGGUAGUGGGAGAAGAAGCCCCGGCUAACUUCGUG